GGUGGCCUAGUGGUUAGAGCGUUCGCCUCGGAUGUGGGAGGUCGUGUGUUUGAUCACCGGUCGAAUCAUACCAAAGACU